AGAGUUUGAUCCUGGCUCAGAGCGAACGUUAGCGGCGCGCUUAACACAUGCAAGUCGCACGAGAAAGGGCUUCGGCCCCGGUAAAGUGGCGCACGGGUGCGUAACACGUAGGCAAUCUUCCCUUGAGCGGGGGAUAACGUUUCGAAAGAGACGCUAAUACCGCAUAAGACCACGGCUACCUCGGUAGCUGCGGUCAAAGCUGGCCUCUUCUUGAAAGCUAGCACUUAAGGACGAGCCUGCGGCCCAUCAGCUAGUUGGUAAGGUAAUGGCUUACCAAGGCGAAGACGGGUAGCUGGUCUGAGAGGACGAUCAGCCACACUGGGACUGAGACACGGCCCAGACUCCUACGGGAGGCAGCAGUGGGGAAUCUUGCGCAAUGCGCGAAAGCGUGACGCAGCAACGCCGCGUGGGGGAAGACGGCCUUCGGGUUGUAAAGCCCUGUCGGGUGGAACGAACAGCCUCGUAAGAGGUUUGACGGUACCAUCAAAGGAAGCACCGGCUAACUUCGUGCCAGCAGCCGCGGUAAUAC
rnacentral:rRNA from 1 species